AGUUGAUCCUGCUGGCGGUUGCGGCCAUCUGGUUUGUACUUAGGCAUUCAAGUUUUUUGAUUCUUUGCGUUGAGGAGCGAACUGCUCAGUAACACGUAGCUAACCUACCCUCAUGUUGGAAAUAAGGUCGGGAAACUGACUCUAAUGUCCAAUAGAAGAUGACUGCUGGAAUGCAUUAUCUUUCAAAUGAGGAUGGGGCUGCGGCGGAUUAGGUUGUUGGCGGGGUAAUGGCCCACCAAGCCGAUGAUCCGUAAGGGUUCUUAGCGGAAGAGCCCUGAGAGGGAAUCUGAGACACUAUUCCCAGCCCUACGGGGUGCAGCAGCCGAGGAACUUUUACAAUGCACGCAAGUGUGAUAGAGCAAGCCAGAGUGCUUUUCCGUAUUAGGAAAAGCUUUUGUGAGAUGUAAAUAGUCUCACGAAUAAGGACUGGGAAAGACUGGUGCCAGCCGCCGCGGUAAUACCAGCGGUCCAAGUCGCAGCCAUUUUUAUUGGGUCUAAAACAUCCGUAGCUCGUCGAUUAAGUCUUUUGUGAAAUCCGGCAUCUCAAGUGUCGGGCUGGCAUGAGAUACUAAUCGGCUAGAGACCGGGAGACGUGAGGAGUAUGGUUUGGGUAGUGGUCAAAUGCGUUGAUCCAAACCAGACUAACAAUAGCGAAGGCACCUUGCGAGAACGGUUCUGACAGUGAGGGAUGAAGGCUAGGGGCGCGAAACGGAUUAGAUACCCGUGUAGUCCUAGCAGUAAACACUGCACACUAAACAUUGAGACCUCUUCGAGAGGUUUCAGUGCUGAAGGGAAGCCGAAGAGUGUGCUACCUGGGAAGUAUAGUCGCAAGACCGAAACUUAAAGGAAUAGGCGGGGGGAUACUACAACGAGUGACGCGUGCGGUUCAAUUAGAUUUCACACCGUGAACCUUACCAGGAUCGACAGCAGAAUGAAGGUCAGUCUAAAGGGCUUACCUGACACGCUGAGAGGAGCUGCAUGGCCGACGUCAGCCUGUGUCGUGAGAUGAUCUGUUAAAUCAGAUAACAGGCGAGACCCGUAUGUAUAUUUACUUUGAACAAUAUACAGACUGCCUUGGCAACAAGGAGGAAGGUGCGGGCUACGUUAGGUCAGUACAGCCCGAAUACCCUGGGCUACACGCGCGCGGCAAUGCUACAUUCAAAGGGCUGCGACACCGAAAGGUGAAGCUAAUCUCAUAAACUGUAGCCUAGUUCAGAUUGAGGCUUGCAACUCAGCCUCAUGACGCUGGAAUUCGUAGUAAUCGGACUUUAUCACAGUCCGGUGAAUAAGUCAAUGUCCCUUGCACUCACCGCCCGUCAAACCAACCGAGUUUUGCGUUGACGAGGCUCGUUAGAGACGAAUCUUUGUAAGACAAGGUAGGUUAAGUCGACACAAGGUA
rnacentral:rRNA from 1 species